GACGAACCGAGCGAACGUUGUUCGGAAUCACUGGGCUUAAAGGGCGCGUAGGCGGGCAUCAUAGUCUGUGGUGAAAUCCGGCAGCUUAACUGUCGAAUUGCCAUGGAUACUGGGUGUCUCGAGGGAGGCAGGGGUGCGCGGAACUAAUGGUGGAGCGGUGAAAUGCGUUGAUAUCAUUAGGAACUCCGGUGGCGAAGGCGGCGCACUGGUCCUUUUCUGACGCUGAGGCGCGAAAGCCAGGGGAGCAAACGGGAUUAGAUACCCCGGUAGUCCUGGCCCUAAACGUUGGGUACUAGAUAGUAGGGUUCACAUGGCUUUACUGUCGAAGCAAAAGUGCUAAGUACCCCGCCUGGGGAGUAUGGUCGCAAGGCUGAA
rnacentral:rRNA from 1 species